rnacentral:rRNA from 1 species
GACGGGGGGGGCAAGUGUUCUUCGGAAUGACUGGGCGUAAGGGCACGUAGGCGGUGAAUCGGGUUGAAAGUGAAAGUCGCCAAAAAGUGGCGGAAUGCUCUCGAAACCAAUUCACUUGAGUGAGACAGAGGAGAGUGGAAUUUCGUGUGUAGGGGUGAAAUCCGUAGAUCUACGAAGGAACGCCAAAAGCGAAGGCAGCUCUCUGGGUCCCUACCGACGCUGGGGUGCGAAAGCAUGGGGAGCGAACAGG